GCAGGCUGCAACUCGCCUGCAUGAAGUCGGAAUUGCUGUAAUCGUAGGUCAGCAUACUACGGUGAAUACGUUCCCGGGCCUUGUACACACCGCCCGUCAAACCAUGAGAGUUGGCAACACCCGAAGUCGGUAGUCUAACCGCAAGGAGGACGCCGCCGAAGGUGGAGUUGAUGAUUAGGGUUAAGUCGUAACAAGGUAUC
rnacentral:rRNA from 1 species